AAUCCAGAAAGACGCAUGUCAACAUUUUUUAUAAAUUGAGACUAGGGACUAUUUCAAUGUUUCUGUCACACAAGACAGGUUUAUUCAAAGGCAGCUAAAGUCUGUGAAAAUCAAAUGUUUAUGUACCAUGGCCUAGGUCAGUGGUUCUCAAACCUCCCCUGGGUGUGCUAGCUCUGGGUUACAUCUAAUACAUGGAGUGGCUGGGGAGGCCCCAGGAGAGGGUUGAGAAACACUGGCCUAGGUAAAUAGACCAGAGGUCUGACUAACAUUGCUACUCUGUGAGAAGCUUAAGUGAUCAGAACGGGUACCUGUCAUGCCAGGGCAGCUUAUAAAAAACACUACCUAAUGUAUUAUAAGUAUAUAAUAGCUUCUGUCUCUCGGUCUCCAGAACACGGCAGAGUUGUUCUUUGAGGACGUGCGUCUUCCUGCUUCUGCCCUCCUGGGACAGGUCAACAUGGGCUUUAACUACCUGAUGAACGAGCUGCCACAGGGCCGCUUGUUUGUUGCGGACAUGGCUAUCUCCAGCAGGGAGUUCAUGUUUGUGGAGACCAGGAACUAGGCCAUGCAGAGGAAAGCUUUUGGCUAGACCAUUUCUCACCUGCCGGUCGGAUAACAUGAAGUCAUGUUUCCUUUUCCUCAGCGAACUGUCCAAAUGACAUUUUGUUAAUGGGUAGUACUAGGAUGUAGCGUACUAACGUACUAGCACACCAAUAACGUAUCCAUGGUGCCAAAAAAUGUUUUAAACAAAAUAAAGGCAGGCUCCCCUGUUUUGUUUGAAAGAACAUUUUACAACUAAAGCAUGUUAUUUGGCAGAAUGAAUAGACCCCUUGUAAGUUUACCACUGCCAGCAACUGAUAAAUAAACAUUUUCAGACACAGAAAGAAGGAAAGGGGAUAGCAAACCAUUUGUUGAUAACAUUCCUCAUGCCAUUACAUUACAUUUGACUAAGUAAAAUAACAUAAUUUAGCGUUAAUGUGGACCCAGUGACUCAGACUUCAUACAUAGGCAGGUAACUUAACUUUCAACUGGUGGUGAAGAGUUGGAUGAUUUUCAUUGUAUUAAAUACAUCUACUGUCCCCCUUGUCUCUUGGCAUGGUCUAGACAGUGCAGCACAAACUGGCAGAGAUGAAGCUUGAGAUCUGGGUGGGACGCUCCUUUGUAGACAACUGCCUUCAGCUCCACGCAGAGAAACCAGCUCUGUGGUGAUCCGGUCCAGUCAGGCGUCUGACCUCCAGAACUCUGUGGCCACUCGGUGUGUCCAGCUCCAUGGAGGUUGGGGUUACAUGUGGGAGCACUCCAUCGCCAAGGCUUUUGUGGACUCCCGUGUCCAGCCCAUAUACGGAGGGACCAAUGAGAUCAUGAAGGAGUUGAUCGCUCGUAGCAUCGUCAGCCAGAAGUGAGAGAGGCAUCCGGUCUCCCGAGAGAGCAAGAAGACUAUUUUGUGACACUUCAAAUUGAGCUCAGAAGAAUCCGUGACCUUUUGAUCUCUUGAUGUCUCCAGAACUUGAUUGGAGCCCGCCUGUGGCAAAUUCCAUGAAGUCAAGGAAGUCUCUGUAGACUUGUGACAUUUGCGUUGAGGCAUAGAUCUGGGGAAGGUUAAGUACUUGAUCCAGAGUACGCAGGACCUCCGCAAGACAACCCAAAGCACGCAGCUAAGACAACACUAGAAUGUCUUUGGAACAAGUCUGUGAAUGUCCUUGAGUGGAUGAAGAACUGAAUUAUCCCGAGUAAUUAUGUACACUAGUUAUUC